GAACCUUGGUGUGCCUCCAGUGAGAGACUCUGGAGUUCUCUGGAGCGGUAGAAGACAUAGAGCAUCUCACACGCCGAGAUAGCUCCUAUCGUCAUCAGAUCCACCCCUUCGUCGCAGAUCUGAAACAAUGGCCGGCAAGGUGAGACCAGCCUCCAAAUCCGCAGCCAAAGUGUCAAGCAAACAGUCACGCGCCACCGCCUCUUCACUGGGAGCCGACGAGACCAAAGUAAAACGGCUCGAACUGAACUCGACAGUAGAACCCUAAAAGUCGAACCAACCAGUGACCACCUCUUCACUCGACUCACUGUCGCUCCAGAUCCGCCUUUGAUAUGUCCAGAUCUUGCUCCGCCGCGGUCAAAACAGCCACUAGCCACCGUUAAACUCACCAGAGACAGAAAGUAUGUCGCUGAGGGAUGGAAUGGUACCAGAAAGGCAAAAGAAAAAGGAGAGGGAGAGUUGAGGGAGUAGCCUCCGAUGCCGCUAGUGUCGCGGACGCCGGGGGAGGAGCCGCCGCGGACGCCGGGGGAGGAGCCGCUGCAUUAUAGUUUCUUCAGGUCACGAGGGUUUCGAGGGAGAGAGAGAAAGAGAGAUGUCUUAUGGUGCUAUCCUAGUCUUUUUCUCAUUAAUAUUAAAUUGUUAAUUUAAUUAAAAUACCAAAAAAAAAUCAAAAAAAAAAUGUCACUCGAAACUGAGGCACACAAAGAUGACUUCUAAAUUAAAGAAUAAAAAUAAAAUUGAAACAAGAUAAAAUCGUAUGUCGAAACGAUUUAUGGCAUCAUUAGAGCGCAUACUGACUCAGAGACCUCAGAACUGAGCAAGUUCUUAGGAAAAUCCAUACGAGGCAGCUCAUGUAUGGGAUCACUAGUAAUUUCGUAUCCGGUCAAAAUCUUUGUCAAUUUAUCAAAGUGGAUACUUAUCUAAAUUGAACUGAUCCUUCAAUAUAUAUAUGUUAAUCUGUAAAUUUAAAUCUAAGAACGAUAUAAGUUCAAAAAUUAAAAUAAAAUAUCAAUGUAAUAGAAAAAUAUAAAAAUUAAAUGAAUAGUGAAUUUUUUGACCAAAAAAUGAAUAGUGAACUUAAAUUAAAAUAAAAUUAACGAUAAAGCACAAAUUGCUUGUUUGUGACCAAAUUUUUCUGCUAACUAUUUUCCUUGGAUUUUAUUGUACAUUCAGAAAACUGAAAUAAUGAAUUAUUGAUAUGUUCAAAUUAUCCUUUUUAACUGAUCUGCAAUAUCAGAGGUGCAAUGCAUUAUACCAAUGUGUUCUCUUAAGCACAAAAAUCUUCGUAAGCUUCAAAAUGCUCCAAAAGUUUCAUCUAAGUCCAAAGUGUACCUAAAUGCAAUGACUCGUUCCAGAUUCUAAAAGGACCAAACAUAUUUUAAACUUCAAGAACUGGUGAAAACCAUGAUAUAUCAACUUCCCGUAACUUACAUUUUGUUUGCUCUUAAAUAAAACAAAAGACUAAAUCUAUGACAUAAGUUUGAAAAGUAGGAACUCACUUACUCUUUAGAACACUAUUUUCACCUUUAUAAUGUUGCAAACCACAUCAAUUAGCACCAACCUUAGAAGGCACUUCCAUAUAUUCGACACUGCUUAACAACCCAACAUUCAUUCCACAGCUCAUAAAACCUGAUGGACUGGCCGGUGUUUGUUUCAGAGAUACAUUCCAGAGUUUUUAAGAGAAUUUUGAGAGUGUGAGCCCGUAUCAUAUCUCCAGAAACAUAAAUGUUCAGGCGAAUUUAUUAGCAAAAAAAGGUAAAAACAGAGGUGUAUUAUUUCUCUAUAUAAAUGAGACACGAUUAGGUAGAGAUACUCUUCAGAGAUAUUUUUAUGGUCUAGUGAUUUGGAUAACCGACAAAAAAUUGACUGUGUUGAUGGUUCUCAGAAGAGAAAACAGAUAAUUUAGCGAAAAAUCUACAUGAAUAGUCGCCAAAAUGUAUGUAACUUAUGAUUGCCAAUGUAAUAAUAAACAUAAACGGUGAAAGUUUGUAAAAUUAAUGAAGUAGUUUGUCGAACAAGAAAAGAACUUAAAAACUGAAACAACCUGUCAAAUUCUAUGUAUUUUUAUUUACUAGAAAUUUUAAUAAUCACAAAAUUCUUUUGUUAUCAGUAAUUUAAAUUUUUCAUAACAAAAAGAUACAAAUCAUCAAAAAAAAACAACAUGAGUAGAACGCAUUAUUUAACACUAGAGGUUCGCCGGCGCUACGCGCCGGGUUUGGGAUUUUUUUUCCUAUUUCAAAUUGGUAUCAUUGUGUUCUUUUAUUUUGUUGUUAUGAGUGAGUGUAGGCAGGGUUGUGUUUAUUUUAAAUAUUGGAUAUUUUGCAUGAUGUUUGUAUUUUUGUAUUACGGUAAGUACGGUGAGUUUGGCUUGUGACUUAAGUAAUUCGCAGAGAGUUAUUUGGAAACGUUAUAAACAGUCAUAUUUCAUUGCAUUGGAACUAAAUAUAUUUUUCUCCUGGAACGUGGACAACAUUCAAGGUUUUUUUUGCUUUGACUAACCUCCAAAAGAAAACCAAAUUUCACCUGCAAAUACCACUUACCUCCAGCCUCUACCUACUUCUAUCAGGUGCUUCUCGACAGAAAAAUGAAUAGAAAGGUUGUUGAAGCCCAUCAUCAUCGUGUAGAAAUCGGUGAGUAAAAAGAAGUGGAAACACUUUGAGUAGACCGUGUUCGCCGUUCCGUCUCCAGGAUGGCAAUUCAGCUCUGGCCACAUUUUCAGAACCGAGCUCUUAUAUAUAUCCCUCAUCUGAAGAAGUGGACGUUCCAGAGCCCUCUUGAAAUUUAUCAUUCAAUCCUCAACCAACGAAAUACCUUUCUCUUCCGUGAGGUUGUUGAUGAUUUUGAUUCCUUUGUCUGUCUCGCCGAUGGACAUGAGGAGAACACCAAAAAUGUAUCUUCCUUGUAGGUGACCACUCUUUGAUGCUAUGUGGAUGUGAUGUAGACCUAGGACUUGAUUUUGAGAUUGGAAGAAUUGAAUCAUACCUUUUACAAA